rnacentral:misc_RNA from 1 species
GAUGAAGAACGUAGUGAAAUGCGAUAAGUAAUGCGAAUUGCAGAAUUCCGUGAGUCAUCGAAUCUUUGAACGCACAUUGCGCCCCCUGGUAUUCCGGGGGGCAUGCCUGUCCGAGCGUCAUUACAACCCUCAAGCUCAGCUUGGUAUUGGGCCCCGCCGACCCGGCGGGCCCUAAAGUCAGUGGCGGUGCCGUCCGGCUCCGAGCGUAGUAAUUCUUCUCGCUCUGGAGGUCCGGUCGUGUGCUCGCCAGCAACCCCCAAUUUUUUUCAGGUUGACCUCGGAUCAGGUAGGGAUACCCGCUGAACUUAAGCAUAUCAAUAAGCGGAGGA